UGCGGUGAAACACGUAUCCUACCUUCCAACUCAUUGGUGCUCCAAGUGCUUGCACUGGGCGUGCCAUGAGUUUUUGUACUGUGUACCAAAUGGAAGGAAUUGUCCCACAAAAAAAUGUUGUUUGCUUCGUGUCACUCGUGCCAUGAGGUGAACCCCGAAGUGCUUCUUGUUGUCCAUGUUGUAUGCCCUAUAUCUAGGACUGCGAUGUGGCUCACUGGAUGCUACUUGUGCUCUCGGAUGUGGAACCUUAUGCGGGCGUGGGGUCUUGUUGCCCCUUUUGCCCUUGCUAUGCGUUCGUCGCUCGUUGCGUACGACUGUCGUGCCCGUCUUGACUUGGCUGUGGAAACGUGGCCAGGCUCAUGCGGGACCGAUGUCGUUGAGGAAUGCUACCUGGUUGAUCCUGCCAGUAGUCAUAUGCUUGUCUCAAAGAUUAAGCCAUGCAUGGUGUAAGUAA
rnacentral:misc_RNA from 1 species